rnacentral:rRNA from 1 species
AAGCGGAGGAAAAGAAACCAACAGGGAUUGCCUCAGUAGCGGCGAGUGAAGCGGCAAAAGCUCAAAUUUGAAAUCUGGCGUCUUUGGCGUCCGAGUUGUAAUUUGAAGAAGGUAUCUUUGGGCCCGGCUCUUGUCUAUGUUCCUUGGAACAGGACGUCACAGAGGGUGAGAAUCCCGUGCGAUGAGAUGACCCGGGUCUGUGUAAAGUUCCUUCGACGAGUCGAGUUGUUUGGGAAUGCAGCUCUAAGUGGGUGGUAAAUUCCAUCUAAAGCUAAAUAUUGGCGAGAGACCGAUAGCGAACAAGUACAGUGAUGGAAAGAUGAAAAGAACUUUGAAAAGAGAGUGAAAAAGUACGUGAAAUUGUUGAAAGGGAAGGGCUUGAGAUCAGACUUGGUAUUUUGCAUGCUGCUCUCUCGGGGGCGGCCGCUGCGGUUUACCGGGCCAGCAUCGGUUUGGAGCGGCAGGAUAAUGGCGGAGGAAUGUGGCACGGCUUCUGCUGUGUGUUAUAGCCUCUGACGAUACUGCCAGCCUAGACCGAGGACUGCG